rnacentral:rRNA from 1 species
GACGAACGCUGGCGGCGUGCCUAAUACAUGCAAGUCGAGCGAACGGACGAGAAGCUUGCUCCUCUGAUGUUAGCGGCGGACGGGUGAGUAACACGUGGAUAACCUACCUAUAAGACUGGGAUAACUUCGGGAAACCGGAGCUAAUACCGGAUAAUAUUUUGAACCGCAAGGUUCAAGAGUGAAAGACGGUCUUGCGUGAACUAAUAGAUGGACCCGCGCUGCAUCAGCUAGUUGGUAAGGUAACGGCUUACCAAGGCAACGAAGCAUAGCCGACCUGAGCGGGUGAUCGGCCAGCCUGGAACUGAGGCCCGGCCCAGACUCCUAGGGGAGGCAGCGGUAGGGAAUCUUCCGCAAUGGGCGAAAGCCUGACGUAGCAACGCGGCGUGAGUGAUGAAGGUCUUCGGAUCGUAAAACUCUGUUAUUAGGAAAGAACAUAUGUUUUUUUACCUGUGCACAUCUUGACGGUACCUAAUCAGAAAGCCACGGCUAACUACGUG